UACGAAGGGGGCUAGCGUUGCUCGGAAUCACUGGGCGUAAAGCGCACGUAGGCGGACUCUUAAGUCGGUGGUGAAAUCCUGGAGCUCAACUCCAGAACUGCCUUCGAUACUGGGAGUCUCGAGUCCGGGAGAGGUGAGUGGAACUGCGAGUGUAGAGGUGAAAUUCGUAGAUAUUCGCAAGAACACCAGUGGCGAAGGCGGCUCACUGGCCCGGUACUGACGCUGGAGGUGACGAAAGCGGUGGGGAGCAAACAGG
rnacentral:rRNA from 1 species